rnacentral:rRNA from 1 species
CAUGCAGUCGAACGAGAACCCGCCUUCGGGCGGGGGACAGUGGCGAAAGGGCGAGUAAUGCACUCCUACGUACCCCGAGGCGGGGGAUAGGUCGCGGAAACGCGGCGUAAUACCCUAUGUGCUCUCAGGAGGGAAGGCUUCGGCCACCUCGGGAGCGGGGAGUGUCCUAUCAGGUUGUUGGUGAGGUAAUGGCCUACCAAGCCGAAGACGGGUAGCGGGUGUGAGAGCAUGACCCGCCGCAUCGGGACUGAGACACUGCCCGGACUCCUACGGGAGGCUGCAGCGACGAAUCUUCCGCAAUGGGCGCAAGCCUGACGGAGCAAUGCCGCGUGCAGGAUGAAGCAGCUUCGCUGUGUAAACUGCUGUCAGGUUCUAGAAUCAAUGAUCAGAACCAGAGGAAGGGCCGGCUAAACUCGUGCCAGCAGCCGCGGUAAUACGAGUGGCCCGAGCGUUAAUCGGAAUCACUGGGCUUAAAGGGUGCGCAGGCGGACCGAAAGGCAUCUCGUGAAAUCCCCCGGCUCAACCGGGGAACUGCGGGGUGAACCGUCGGUCUUGAGGCAGGUAGGGGUCAGUGGAACCAUCGGUGGAGCGGUGAAAUGCGUAGAGAUCGAUGGGAACGCCAAUGGCGAAGGCAGCUGACUGGGCCUGUUCUGACGCUCAGGCACGAAAGCGUGGGGAGCAAACAGGAUUAGAUACCCUGGUAGUCCACGCCGUAAACGAUGUGCACUAGAUCGCAGGGGCUCUCAUGUCUUUGCGGUCGAAGGAAAACCGUUAAGUGCACCGCCUGGGGAGUACGGUCGCAAGGCUAAAACUCAAAGGAAUUGACGGGGGCUCACACAAGCGGUGGAGCAUGUUGCUUAAUUCGAGGCAACGCGAAGAACCUUACCUGGGUUUGACAUGCACGGAUUAACUUUGUGAAAGCAGAGCCACGCCUUCGGGUGGAACGUGCACAGGUGCUGCAUGGCUGUCGUCAGCUCGUGCUGUGAAGUGUCGGUUUAAGUCCCUUAACGAGCGCAACCCCUAUCGCUAGUUGCCAGCGGGUAAUGCCGGGGACUCUAGCGAGACUGCCGGUGUCAAAUCGGAGGAAGGUGGGGACGACGUCAAGUCCGCAUGGCCUUUAUGCCCAGGGCUGCACACGUGCUACAAUGGCAGGUACAGAACGAAGCAAUACCGCGAGGUGGAGCAAAUCGCUCAAAACCUGCCCCAGUUCGGAUUGCAGGCUGCAAUUCGCCUGCAUGAAGUUGGAAUCGCUAGUAAUCGCGGAUCAGCUACGCCGCGGUGAAUACGUUCCUGAGCCUUGUACACACCGCCCGUCAAGUCAUGGAAGCUGGCAGCACCCGAAGUCGCCGCGUUUCAGCGGUGCCCA